GUCCAGACUCCUACGGGAGGCAGCAGUGGGGAAUAUUGGGCAAUGGGCGCAAGCCUGACCCAGCAACGCCGCGUGAAGGAAGAAGGCUUUCGGGUUGUAAACUUCUUUUGACAGGGAAGAGUAGAAGACGGUACCUGUCGAAUAAGCCACGGCUAACUACGUGCCAGCAGCCGCGGUAAUACGGGGGAUGCAAGCGUUGUCCGGAAUCAUUGGGCGUAAAGAGUUCGUAGGUGGCACGUUAAGUCUGGUGUUAAAUGCAGAGGCUCAACCUCUGUUCGGCACUGGAUACUGGCGAGCUUGAAUGCGGUAGAGGUAAAGGGAAUUCCUGGUGUAGCGGUGAAAUGCGUAGAUAUCAGGAGGAACAUCGGUGGCGUAAGCGCCUUACUGGGCCGUAAUUGACACUGAGGAACGAAAGCCAGGGUAGCAAAUGGGAUUAGAUACCCGAGUAUC
rnacentral:rRNA from 1 species